ACACGAGGAAGGAGGUGAUCCGAAUUGAUUUCCAAUCGGACAAGUGAGGUGGCCAUCCGCUGAGGCGGAUCCGACCACACCUUGAGGUGUAGGACCCUGGUUCGCCGAGGCGAAUCCCAGCUGGUCACCCGGCCUCCGUACCCCGACCGUCCGUCGGCCCGGCUUCCCCGUGAAGCGGUACGGGGGCCGUUUGUA
rnacentral:sRNA from 1 species